CAUGCAAGCCGAGCGGUAGAGUCUCUUCGGAGACUUGAGAGCGGCGCACGGGUGCGGAACACGUGUGCAACCUGCCUUUAUCUGGGGGAUAGCCUUUCGAAAGGAAGAUUAAUACCCCAUAAUAUAUUAGAUGGCAUCAUUUGAUAUUGAAAACUCCGGUGGAUAGAGAUGGGCACGCGCAAGAUUAGAUAGUUGGUGAGGUAACGGCUCACCAAGUCUGCGAUCUUUAGGGGGCCUGAGAGGGUGAUCCCCCACACUGGUACUGAGACACGGACCAGACUCCUACGGGAGGCAGCAGUGAGGAAUAUUGGACAAUGGGUGAGAGCCUGAUCCAGCCAUCCCGCGUGAAGGACGACGGCCCUAUGGGUUGUAAACUUCUUUUGUAUAGGGAUAAACCUAGAUACGUGUAUCUAGCUGAAGGUACUAUACGAAUAAGCACCGGCUAACUCCGUGCCAGCAGCCGCGGUAAUACGGAGGGUGCAAGCGUUAUCCGGAUUUAUUGGGUUUAAAGGGUCCGUAGGCGGAUCUGUAAGUCAGUGGUGAAAUCUCACAGCUUAACUGUGAAACUGCCAUUGAUACUGCAAGUCUUGAGUGUUGUUGAAGUAGCUGGAAUAAGUAGUGUAGCGGUGAAAUGCAUAGAUAUUACUUAGAACACCAAUUGCGAAGGCAGGUUACUAAGCAACAACUGACGCUGAUGGACGAAAGCGUGGGGAGCGAACAGGAUUAGAUACCCUGGUAGUCCACGCCGUAAACGAUGCUAACUCGUUUUUGGGCUUUCGGGUUCAGAGACUAAGCGAAAGUGAUAAGUUAGCCACCUGGGGAGUACGUUCGCAAGAAUGAAACUCAAAGGAAUUGACGGGGGCCCGCACAAGCGGUGGAUUAUGUGGUUUAAUUCGAUGAUACGCGAGGAACCUUACCAAGGCUUAAAUGGGAAAUGACAGGUUUAGAAAUAGACUUUUCUUCGGACAUUUUUCAAGGUGCUGCAUGGUUGUCGUCAGCUCGUGCCGUGAGGUGUUAGGUUAAGUCCUGCAACGAGCGCAACCCCUGUCACUAGUUGCCAUCAUUAAGUUGGGGACUCUAGUGAGACUGCCUACGCAAGUAGAGAGGAAGGUGGGGAUGACGUCAAAUCAUCACGGCCCUUACGCCUUGGGCCACACACGUAAUACAAUGGCCAGUACAGAGGGCAGCUACACAGCGAUGUGAUGCAAAUCUCGAAAGCUGGUCUCAGUUCGGAUUGGAGUCUGCAACUCGACUCUAUGAAGCUGGAAUCGCUAGUAAUCGCGCAUCAGCCAUGGCGCGGUGAAUACGUUCCCGGGCCUUGUACACACCGCCCGUCAAGCCAUGGAAGUCUGGGGUACCUGAAGUCGGUGACCGUAAAAGGAGCUGCCUAGG
rnacentral:rRNA from 1 species